UGCAUUCACUACUGUAAGUCGCUCUGGAUAAGAGCGUCUGCUUAAAUGACUAAAA
rfam:Salmo salar isolate Sally breed double haploid chromosome ssa26, whole genome shotgun sequence.